AAUUCCCUAAUUAAUUGCCUGGUGUCUUGACCUCUCACUUGACGAGGUUCCAGAGCUUAUUACCGCUCCGUCCCGCUCUAAUCGAGGCCCAUUACAGAUGCUCAGCGGACUGGAAGUGCCAGAUGUGGGCGAAGGAGAAAGGAGGCCGCUGUCGGCUGUCCGCUGAAUUGCAUCGUGAGGUUAGAAAUUUCACGGAUAAGUAGCUCAGAUGUUUGCAGAAAUUGUAAAUGGUGUGUUCUGACCUCCGCUGGUGGUUUUUAAUGAGAGUGAAGUGCAGAGGUGUGAAGCUGCUGCAGAGGAGAGAAGUCCUGCCGACUUCCAGCGGCUUUCAUGCUUCUAAUAAUUAGAUCGCUUUUGACUUUUAGAUACAAAAUCGCACCAAAUAAGCUCUUAAACUCCACCAUCCUUCACAGAGAGAAGCUUGCUGCACGAGCGGCCGAGGCUUCCUGUCGCUCCUCCGCCUGCGGUCGGCUCGCUCUGCACGGAGACGCCGGUCGGCGCUGAACGCCGUUCCCCUGCCUACGCGGAUAUCGCCGCAGCCAUGCACGCCUGCCUCCGUGCCUCCGUGCUCGGCGCCCUGCAUGCAUUAUUCACAGCCAAAUUAAAAUACCGCGGGUGAGAGUUGCAUGCGGCGGCAGCUGAAUGGCCGAGGUGCCGUCGCAGCAGCUGACAGCGUCUGUCACAGAGUUAGAACUUUGUUUUUUUCAGUGCAGCUGCCUAAGUGAGAGGGAUUAAGUUAACUCCCUGCUCAGAGGGAGAGCAGGCCCGGAUUAGGGCGCCGGGCAUGGACACACAGGGCAUUCAAGCAGGAGCCCCAGCUUUUUAAAGAAGAGCCGUGGGGGGGGGGGGGGCAGCGGUGCAGGGACGGCGUUGCUUCAACAAAUACACUGGCGUGUGUAACGUGUGUCAACAAUCACUUCUGCUUCCUGCACGUUCCUGCGUCUCCCGUUUUAACCGGAGCCCCCCCCCCCAGCAGCAGAGGUUAUGGAAAUAAAGCAGCAUCUCUCUUGUCAGUCAAAUAGUUUCCUUCUCCUUGUGUUGAACAAAGGAUCAAAGGUCAAAGAGUCAACCUGAUGGAGACGUUCCUUCGCUCCUUCCUCUGAACACCCGUCCAGCGAGAGGACGGAGAUGAGGACAGGUGGUGAGACAGCGUGGGAACCACAACCGACACCCGCUCAUGAAACCCGAGCUGGUUCCUGCAUCGCGUUCCAUCCGCUCGAUGUCCCUAAAUCACCCGUCUGUGAGCGCGGGAGGGACCGUCGUCCCCGAGUCUAAAAGUUACGACCAAAACAGGAGCUUCUUGCCACAUAAAGUGUUCCAAAGCCACGUCGCGUCCCCGCGCUCUUAUACUUCCAUCUAUCGCCCUUCGUGUGCGGCGCAGACACACUUCAUCAACGUCAGCAGAAGUCUGGUGUUAAAAUAGACCAGCCGAUGAUUUUCACUCCCCACAGAACCUGCCACGUAGAUUCCCCGUCGCCGGCGUCAAGCCGGACAUCCGAGCGCGUAACGUCCUCCUCCGCCUGUCGCCUCGUGGCUGCAGGGAGACGAACCUCGCUCACGUCAGCUCCGUGACAUCGAAGCGACCGCCGCGCGGCGGCAGACCGCCGGUGACGGACGCCUUUUCGUCUCCGGCAGUCAGGCCGCGGCGGGCGGCCCGCGGACGACUGUAAUCGCACCGACAGGUGACACGUAUGUGGAAACCAGAAGAUGAUGGGGGAGACUCCUCAGAUCACGUGACCUGCGCCUCACAUGAAGAGACGUUGGGUGACACGCGGGACAGAAGUCCUCUUUGGGGGUUUGGUGCCAUUAAGCCGAUUGACUUCUAAAUCUAAAGUGAUCUACGAAGUUAAUUGUAGAUCACCGCAGGGGUUUUACCUUCAUCACAAAGGGAAGCUCCUCCUUUGUGUCCUUUUGUUAAUGUCCACGAGAUCCCUCCAUUCAGGUUUAGUUUUUACAAACAGCGGCAAAAACUAACUAAUCCGAUUUUUAUUUCAACAGAAAACAAAAUGCAAAGCUGCCAAUCGAUUAUUAAAACAGAAAUCACUCGUAAAUCAAAUCAGAGUGUGGUUCGCGCUGCACGUCUGUGUUUUGGACAUCGAUCUACAGGCCUCCCCUUACCCCCUUGAAUCCUCGCCUCGCGGCCUUUUUUCGCCCACUUCCCCUUGAAUUGUCCUCUGAGCGUUGACAGCAGAGUGCGCCGUCACAAUGGCGUGUUGGUGUUUUGCUCGACGAGCUUCAGAGCUCUUCGUCAUCCGAGGCCCAAUUAGCAACCGGGGGAGGAAUAUAUGCUGGUGUAGGUGGGUCAUUAGUUGGAAAUGAAGAAAAGUCCCCCCUCGCCCCCCGACUGUUAGAACGGGCUCGUGUCUCGCUGUCGAAUCCCCUCGUUGUUUAUUAGCGGGAGUCGAGUCUUCUGCACAUGUGAGCCGGCGGAGCUUGUGAUCGUCCUCUGGACGGAGCAGAGGACUCUCGCCUGUUGACAGACCACUGAGCCCUGAUGUCGGACUGUGACAGCCGCCCCGCACACGCUUUACAAAGGGGCCUCUGGCGGGCUGGUUAGCCAUCAUGGCGGCUCGGCUCGCAGCGAGAGGACCUCUAACGCCGUCCCGGCUGGGGGACCAUUAGGGAAAUGUCUGGAGGGCUCCUCGUGUCUCCGGCCCGGCUGCACUGGUCCCAUUAACGAGGGGGGUGUCAGCACACCGGAGGUGAUGGGUGUGACGAGCGAGGCUCGGCCCCCCGCACGGGAUCGUCUUCAGUCCAACGCCGCGGGGACGCUCGUCUUCGGCCUAGUUUGUGCUGAACUUCAGUAACUAUCUGUGUGGCCUGUUGGAGACGCACUUUUUGCCGGUGUGACGCUCCAUGAAGACUUGAAGACAUGAAGUCAUGAAGACUGGAAGACAUAAAGGCUUGAAGACAUGAAGGCUUGAAGACUUGAAGGCAUGAAGACAUGAAGACUUGAAGGCAUGAAGACAUGAAGACUUGAAGGCAUGAAAACAUGAAGACUUGAAGGCAUGAAGACAUGAAGACAUGAAGGCAUUAAGACAUGAAGACUUGAAGGCAUGAAGACAUGAAGACUUGAAGGCAUGAAGACAUGAAGACUUGAAGACAUGAAAACAUGAAGGCAUGAAGACAUGAAGACUUGAAGACUUGAAGGCAUGAAGACAUGAAGACUUGAAGACUUGAAGGCAUGAAGACAUGAAGACAUGCAGGCAUGAAGGCAUGAAGACAUGAAGGCGAGGACAGACGAUGAGGUCGCCGAGCGGAUCGGAUGUUCCUUUGUACGCAGAUGGAAUGAUGUCACACGACCUCGGCGCCGUGGCGUUAACGCGGCACCGUAGGACAAUUGAAGCGCGUCCUCUGUGUCCGUCCCUGGUGCCGCCUCUUUGAGCAAGUCUCUGCCCACUUCAGCUUUUUGGUAAAAGAAAAAGCACUUCAGGGGAAUCGAACCAAGCAGAAAUGUAAAUUGUGACGGUUACGUCCCAUCCAGAUGUUGUGUAAGGAGACCCCCCCCCCCCCCCACACACACCUCCCAACGGGGGAAACAAGCAUGUGUCCUCAAAGCCAGGUGAUGCAGAGUGACCCCUGACCUCUGGGACACCCUCAUCCAGGUGUUUGGACUCGUGGUUUCUGCUGCUUCCUCUCAGCCCCCCCUCCCUCCCCCCCCUUUACUUUAAUGUUUGACAGUCUCUUCCUGCCGUCACGCAGAAGGUGGCGAGGGUCUUCUUCCUGCUUUUUGAGGCAUUAAUAACCUUCCGCUCCACUGACUCCCCGGAGCACAACCUCAUUACGGCUCCUAGGCUCCUUCUCUCAGAGGAAGGAGGCGUCGGUGAGCGGCUCCUUGUUGCUGACUGAAACACAUGUCCGCCGUGUUAUCUGUCUCCGGGACAGGAAGUGACUGCUGGCUGCUGUUGGCGGCAGUCUGCGCUGGGCGGCGGCACCGUGGGCUUUCACAGGCCGGAUGAAGACACCCGCUUCAAGAUUCCUCUGUGGGACAAGCAGUGAGCUACAUAGUCUCUACUAACCCUCCUAAGAAAUACAUCACUCACUUUGUCUCCAUAAGAAUCUAGAAGAUAAAACGAAGCGUGUUGAAUCCAAACUUCUCGGAUGUGAAGACGAUCUUCAUCGAACCACCUGGUUGAGGAAUCACGUCAGUGUUUUCAUCUCGUGGCGUGAAUUCAAACUGGAGGUCAAGUGCCUUGCCCAAGGGCAGCGGGUCACAGAGCAGGACCUGAAGGCUUUGGCUUCUACCAGCUGAUUAUCAGCACGCAACCAACGGUUUGAUCCGAGCGACAGCAAACUGACCUGAGAUCAUUUAUCACUUUUUCUGCAAAAAUAUGUUGAGAAAUAGUCGAUAAGAAAUGAAAUAAGAAUAAGAAGAGAAGUUCUAAAUGUCUGAUGGAGCAUUCAGUGUAGAAACGUAUCAUAUAUAACUAUAUAUAUAUAUGAAUACAUGUGUAUAGAUGUCUUUGUUGUGUUCUGUCCAUAGUUUGACUUUACAUUCAUUGAGUUGACUUCAGGCUCGUUGGUGAGGAGUCAGCACGACGUCACGUGGCCCCCAAACGGGCCCCGGCGCUGCUGCUCCUGAGUGAAGGCUCGUAAUUAGAGGCGGUUGGCGUCGAUGCAUCUGGGUUAUUUAGCUGAAAAGAUCAUUUCUGGGAUGUUUUACAUAAUCCUUAAAACACACAAGGAAGCCCUGCUCUCGAGGAAUAAAUAUGAAUGAAUGGAGAAGCUAAUGGACGUGUUGACGGCGUUUCGGUAAACCUAAUAAGAAUUGAUUCUGGGUUGUGAGAACCCCCCCCCCCCCCUCUGCUUUACAUGUGUAAUGAACCUGCCUGAGCAUUGAUGAAAAACAAAAAUUGGAGGAGUAAAUCUGCUUAAGGAGCCCGUCUGCGCUCUUUGUCUUGGCCGGCACUUACCGAGCUGCUAUAUGUCUCUUAAAUCACCAAAUUGCUUUCUGUCCCUUUUCUAUUUCCCCCCACGAGGGCGUGCGGGCAUUAGUCGAAAGUUUUUUCCCGCAAAUAUUUAAUCCUCGCCGUGACUGACAAUGUUGUCAGACCUCCGGACGAGUUUCACGCCGUUAUUGCCGGCGCUGCUCCGUCCGUGGCACUUUGGAUUAUUCAAGAUUAUGUUGUAAUCCCUUUAAUCCUCAUUGCAUUAAGAUUUCAGUCAAAAUACGGCAACAGCGAAGCAGCACUCGGAAUCCACGCGCUCUCAAGCGGGCGUCGCCAUUGGCCGGCCGCCCGCACUUCCUCCCUAUUUACUCUCCCGUCUCUCCGCAUUGUCAACAAGCCGAGCAACAGAUAUGUGUGUUUGCUUUUGAGACGCCACGGCGAUUUAUUCCUGGCACUGAAACCCGUCCCCAGUCACCGCGCAGCGAAGACACAUAUUUACCAGCAGAGACGGCGCCCGAGGGCGGGGCCUGCAGCCGGCGAAAUGUUUGUCUCCGGCGGUGCGGCUGAUGUUGUCCUCCGUGUCCUCCGUGCCGGGCGGCUUCCAGCCAAAGCUGAAUGGGAUGCAGCCACUUUAUGAAGUCACUACAGGAAGACUUCUGUUCCUCCCCCGCUCAGCGGGAGCAUGUAGUCGGCGCAGGCGUGCGUCCGGCUUCGCCUCCCGGCGGGCUCCUACGUGCAGGAAGGUGCCAAACGUGCCGCAUUGACCGGUGGUGGAUGCGAGUUCGGCGAAAACACCAAAACCUCCCUGUGAAAAGUGAAAGAAUUCACAUGUUUCUGGAAUUAAAAUGCGAAGGCCGAGAGGCCGAGAGGCCGCAGGCGUUUUACCUUCAUGUGACGGAUGAUCCCCGCCGACCACCCCGAGAACCGCCCCCCCUCAUCCCCGCUUGAUCUGGAAGAUGCCAGACGUUGUUGUUGCCUUUGUUUCUGGGGGGGGAUCGCUCGGAGGUGGGAGGAGAAGCCGGCGCUGGUCGGUCUUCAAACCCUGUAAGAUCUCCGAGGCGCCUCAGAGUCGGGCUUCAAAGCGGCAGCAGAGGAGAUGAUCCUGAUCUGAUGUGGUUCUUGGUGCUACAGGCCAGCGUCUGGGGGGGGGGGGGGGGGGGGGGGGGGGGCGGGGCAGCAGCUCGGUGUUUCCAUGCUUCUAACGGAGGAAACGUUAUCCCUGACAAACAGAUCUCACCAUGAAACUGCUCCGCUUAAUGGCUUUUAUUAAGACAAUUCCUUUUUUCAAUUCAUAAAUAUGCAAAUAAAACAUAAUCUAGGAUCUAAUCUGCAAUCACAUGCAGAACAGGAAUGUAAACAUUGCUUCAUAUUAUUCUCCCCAGAAACAAAUAAACUGUGUAAAGAUGCAAAUAGACGAACUAGAGAAACAAACACGUCGGCGCCGAAUCUCUUUAAGGAGCACGAAGGAUUAGUUGUAGUACUUCUGGACGCGUAGUACUUCUGGACGUGUAGUACUUCUGGACGUGUAGUACUUCUGGACGCGUAGUACUUCUGGACGCGUAGUACUUCUGGACGCGUAGUACUUCUGGACGUGUAGUACAGCGUAGCCCCGUCUGGUUUAGACGUACACUUUUUGCACUUUAGCAGCAAACUGUCAGCGGCGCCGCCCACGCCGACACCAACGGCAUUCUGGGAACUCUGUCAGAAGCCCAAAAGUUGGCGGCGCACCACCUCUCCUCACUUGUGGCCUUUUGACUUUGCAGGCCGUGCAGAGCCGGCUGUCUCGCUGUGAGGGGGGUCGCGCGGGGGAGGGGGGGGGGGGUGAAAGUAGGUUACAGUUUGCUUCUAGGACAUGUAGCCGACCCCGUGACCCUGGCUCGGAUCCCGCUCGCAGACCCCCCUCAGCGGCGACGAGGGCGCCCCCCCCCUGUCGGUGGGGGCCCCGGGACGUGGCUGCCGGUGUCAAAGUGCACCGGCAGCCCGGAGAAGCUUUCACAUCGUGGCAACACUCAAACCGCCGUUCGUCCCUCCGUCCAACCGCCGCCAUUUGGGAUUUUUCUCUCUCGGCUCGUCCCCGUGACAACGGCGAGGGGGGAGUGGGUGGGGGGUGACGCAACCGAGAGCGCCGUGGCUGGUUUGGGUUCCGUUGAGUCAGAGCGGACCCCUGACGUCCCCGUAUCGUGCUGACAAGAAAACAACCACUGAGACGCACGGCGUCGCCGCGGAAACGUCCCCGCCGCCACGCCGAGGGUUAAAAAGACAGGAAGACGCGUGCGUGUGUCUGACGGCGUGCGGUCUAUCAUCGGUCUACAAUCAGGUCCCUUAAAGUCGCAUUUGCUCUUUAAUCAAGUCACAUUAUCAACACUGUGAAGGUGUUUUUUACAUGUUUGCCGGGUCGGGACUUAAAUAUCAGGCCUGAUGUUCUUCAUCCGGGUCUCCUGGACGUGGACGUGGAGCAGCAGGUGUGGACCCGAGCUCUUUCUGGGGAUGUUUCCCGCUCGUGCUUCUUGUUCCAGUUUAUACGAGUGCACACAACACGCCAUAACACAGAGACGUUUCGUCAACAGGCAUAAACAGAGCUCUCCGCGGGCCUCAGAGAACCACGAGAGUGUCCCGCGCCGUUAAGAGGUCGGCCUGUGUUGGAAACAAUGGCCAGUAAAAGAAUCCCCUCGCCGCUCCGACCGAGUGUUUACACAUGCUCAGCUGGAUCCGUCGGACCCCACCUCGCCGCCGACCUGCGCCGCCGUACAAAUAAACAGGAAGGCCGCGGGCGCUUGGACGAAGGCCACACUCAUAACUCACCGAGCGCCGAGUGUUUUACAGACGGCCGGGAAUAAACCGUCCAUCCGUGAGGAAGGAACGCAGCAUCCGAAAGCAGCGGCGUCCCCUGUGAGCAGCGGCGGGUGACCCGGGCCGGCCGCGUGUGGCGGUGUGUUCGUUGUGAACCACGCGUGAGCGUAGAUCUGGGCGGAGCAGCCGGCGGCGGCGCGGUGAACUCUCAGCGGCUCUGAUUGACGGAAAGUGUUCAUCUCGUUAGCGUUAAACAAGAGCGGGAAAUUGCCUCGUGUCCUCCUUUAAGACGCCCAGAUCUCCUCUGCCACACUCGGACAAACGUCAGCGAACAUGAAAGGAUCUUCAGCCGCUAUCUUUAUCCCGCCAAGUGCUCAAAUUAAGGUUUGCACAUGGACGCCGUGGAGACGCCAGCCACUCUGGGAGAUUAACGCCGGCGCGUCCUGGUGGCGUCCCCACAGCUGACGGCGGCGCAGAUCACGGCGCCGUGAUCUCAAAUUGCUUCUUUUCAUAGAAGCCGUGUGGUCAAUGCGGCACGGAAGCGCUCUGGAUUAUCCCGCCAAUCAGCAUCAGAAACUAAAUAAAAAAAGCAAAACUUUGAUCAAAUGCUGUUUUGGGAUCAUUUACUGGAGCUUUUGUUGAUCAGUGAGCAUUAAUAUAAAUAGAAAAUAAUGUUAACCAGUUAUUUUCUUUAAAUAUUUGACUGCGGCAUAGUUCAUCCAGGCAGAGUUCAGCUGAAAAUCCGCUUCACUUUGAUUUAUUUUUUGGAGUAGUUAUUCAUCUGCCCGGCGUUCACAAGUCCAGCAGGUUGCAGUUAAAUUAUGAGGAUGGAUUU
ensembl:lncRNA